rnacentral:rRNA from 1 species
AAGUCGAGGGGCAGCAUGGUCUUAGCUUGCUAAGGCCGAUGGCGACCGGCGCACGGGUGAGUAACACGUAUCCAACCUGCCGUCUACUCUUGGACAGCCUUCUGAAAGGAAGAUUGAUACAAGAUGGCAUCAUGAGUCCGCAUGUUCACAUGAUUAAAGGUAUUCCGGUAGACGAUGGGGAUGCGUUCCAUUAGAUAGUAGGCGGGGUAACGGCCCACCUAGUCUUCGAUGGAUAGGGGUUCUGAGAGGAAGGUCCCCCACAUUGGAACUGAGACACGGUCCAAACUCCUACGGGAGGCAGCAGUGAGGAAUAUUGGUCAAUGGGCGCAGGCCUGAACCAGCCAAGUAGCGUGAAGGAUGACUGCCCUAUGGGUUGUAAACUUCUUUUAUAAAGGAAUAAAGUCGGGUAUGUAUACCCGUUUGCAUGUACUUUAUGAAUAAGGAUCGGCUAACUCCGUGCCAGCAGCCGCGGUAAUACGGAGGAUCCGAGCGUUAUCCGGAUUUAUUGGGUUUAAAGGGAGCGUAGGUGGACAGUUAAGUCAGUUGUGAAAGUUUGCGGCUCAACCGUAAAAUUGCAGUUGAUACUGGGUGUCUUGAGUAUAGUAGAGGCAGGCGGAAUUCGUGGUGUAGCGGUGAAAUGCUUAGAUAUCACGAAGAACUCCGAUUGCGAAGGCAGCUUGCU